CAAAAGAAAAAGACACCCCAUAAAUCAUAAUUGAACAUUAAUAAUGGAUAUUUUAAUCAAGAGAAUCCUCAAAUCAUAACAUUUUCAUAAGUUGUUAAAAAGAGAUAUAUGAAUCUAAUGCUACUUGGAAUUUCAAUUGUGCCAAUUUGAAAGAGAGUGAAGGAAAUUCAUAUGAAGGUAAAAUUUACUCAUUUCAAGCCUUUGAUUAUUCCCAACCUCAAGAAUUUUUCUAUAAAAUUUUGGCCUGGCACCUGGGUAUCAAGUAAAAAUUGAACUUUGCUAGCUCAAAAAAUUCAAAUCCUCCCCUUAACAUAGCCAGUUAUGUGUGUUCCAUUAAUGAUAACAAAUAAAAACCCAACCAAUUGAAGUUAAAACUUUUCCACAUGUCAAAAACUAAGGCGAAGUAUCCAUAGCUCCACUUCUAUUGUGAAUAAAUAGACCAUAACAUCAAGAAACUAUCUUCAUAACUAGAGGAAUGUGUAUGAAUGUGCGUCUACAAACUACAGGUGAAGGGGCAGUAAAUUCACUGAGGCAUUAUAACAAACAGAUUUCGAUCAGAAAACAAUACAGAUUUAAAGUUAAGAGCUCAGU
rnacentral:lncRNA from 1 species